CGGGAGAUGCUUACACAUGCAGUCGAUUCAAGUUACCUUCGGGUAAUGAGGAUGGCGGACGGGUGAGUAACGCGUAAGGAACUUGCCUCUUGGACUGGGACAACUGUUGGAAACGACAGCUAAUACCGGAUAUUAUGAGAUUCUCGCAUGAGAAACUUAUGAAAGCUAUAUGCGCCAAGAGAGAGCCUUGCGUUCCAUUAGCUAGUUGGUGGGGUAACGGCCCACCAAGGCGACGAUGGAUAGCCGGCCUGAGAGGGUGAACGGCCACAAGGGGACUGAGACACGGCCCUUACUCCUACGGGAGGCAGCAGUGGGGAAUAUUGGACAAUGGGCCACAAGCCUGAUCCAGCAAUUCUGUGUGCACGAUGAAGGUCUUCGGAUUGUAAAGUGCUUUCAGUUGGGAAGAAGAAAGUGACGGUACCAACAGAAGAAGCGACGGCUAAAUACGUGCCAGCAGCCGCGGUAAUACGUAUGUCGCAAGCGUUAUCCGGAUUUAUUGGGCGUAAAGCGCGUCUAGGCGGAAAAAUAAGUCUGAUGUGAAAAUGCGGGGCUCAACUCCGUAUUGCGUUGGAAACUGUUUUUCUAGAGUACUGGAGAGGUGGGCGGAACUACAAGUGUAGAGGUGAAAUUCGUAGAUAUUUGUAGGAAUGCCGAUGGAGAAGUCAGCUCACUGGACAGUUACUGACGCUGAAGCGCGAAAGCGUGGGGAGCAAACAGGAUUAGAUACCCUGGUAGUCCACGCCGUAAACGAUGAUCACUAGGUGUUGGGGGUCGAACCUCAGCGCCCAAGCUAACGCGAUAAGUGAUCCGCCUGGGGAGUAUGCACGCAAGUGUGAAACUCAAAGGAAUUGACGGGGACCCGCACAAGCGGUGGAGCAUGUGGUUUAAUUCGACGCAACGCGAGAGACCUUACCAGCGUUUGACAUCCUAAGAAGUUUCCAGAGAUGGAUUCGUGCCGGCUUGCCGGAACUUAGUGACAGGUGGUGCAUGGCUGUCAUCAGCUCGUGUCGUGAGAUGUUGGGUUAAGUCCCGCAACGAGCCCAACCCCUAUUGUAUGUUGCUUCCAUUAAGUUGAGCACUCAGGCCAUACUGCCUGCGAUGAACAGGAAGAAAGGGGGGGAUAACGGUAGGGUUUCGCGGCCCUGGUAGCUGGGGCGUGGAAGG
rnacentral:rRNA from 1 species